GGUGCGAGCAAUCCGGUGCAUCUGCAGAAACAGGAACAGGUGUGCCAGGACCAAUCUGUCAUCUACCUCUACACCGUUUAUUGGGACUCCAGUCAUCAGUUCGACGCCGGAUCGUGAAUGCUCACAUUCGGACCCCACCUGCUCUGGUGAUCGAAUCAUCUUGCCCAACUGGACUCAUCAAAGCCUCUGAGUUCCAAGCUGACUUCUGGAUCAUCUCCGUCACUCUUCAGUCCUCCGUCCAAAUGUCCAUCUGCUGUCGCUGUCUAGACCAUCAGCUCCUGCCCCAGCACAUUAGCACCCAAGCCGACAGUACGGCCUCAACACGAGCAGUUUCUAGUUUUGUUUUUAGAGUUACGUUUGUCAUUGGUCUUGGAUUGUUUGUGGUACCGGCUAACUGAUUCACCCGGUACUUCUGUUAGUAGAUCUGGUUUAUAGUGUAAUGAUUGCGAACUUCGUUUCCAGUGAGCUUCAUUGUUUCAUAGCCUCGAGUUCCACCUUAGUUUUAGUAUAGCUUGUGGCUCCUUAGUUAUAGUUCAUCCUCUGUAUUUAGUGAUCAUAGUUGCGCCUUUGCUUCAAGUUAUACUUCGUUUCUGUGUGCUUAGGUGCUCAACUAAUCUUCAGCAUUAGCUAUUAUAGUUCUUAACUCUCCUGCCCAGGUUGUGCCUGCUGUGGGUCAGUUCCUUGUGUUGUUGAGAUUUGUAGUUCGUACCGCCCGCCAUUAGGGGCACUCUAGCUCUUGGAGUUUAGUUACUGUAUCUGUUUCCUUUUCCGGAUGCUGGACCUUAGGGAAUUGUAGUCCCAGUCACCUUUUGUCGUUAUAAGAAAUCAUUGUGUUAGCACCCGUUGUCUCCUUCUCUUUUCCUGCGCCUGAGCCUCAAAGAAAACCCUAACAGACCUGACCGUGAACACCGUCGACACCCACCUCAGGGAGACGCUGCCUAAGAUCUCAAGGCUGCUUGGUCGUGGUCUUUCUGGCACGUACUCUUCCAAGAUGAGCCGGGAAGUUUAACACUGAUGGAAUGACACCAGGUCUAAGCCGACAAACUUCCAAUUCCUCCUCAACCCAUAGUCUCUGGGAAACCUACAUGGAGUAAGAAAAGUAGACAGAGAAGUAAUUAAGUCUGUACACAACAUA
ensembl:lncRNA